rnacentral:rRNA from 1 species
AGAGUUUGAUCAUGGCUCAGGGCUAACGCUGGCGGCGCGCCUAACACAUGCAAGUCGAACGAACCUUCGGGUUAGUGGCAGACGGGUGAGUAACGCGUGGAUAAUGUGCCUCUUUGCUGGGGAUACCGUUUCGAAAGGAGCGUUAAUACCGAAUGUGCUGGUCGGGUGGCAUCACUUGACUAGUAAACUGUUAGGGUGAAGAGAGCAGUCCGCGUUCUAUCAGCUAGUUGGUGGGGUAACGGCUCACCAAGGCUACGACGGAUAACUGGUCUGAGAGGAUGAUCAGUCACACUGGAACUGAGACACGGUCCAGACUCCUACGGGAGGCAGCAGUGAGGAAUCUUGCACAAUGGGCGAAAGCCUGAUGCAGCGACGCCGCGUGAGGGACGAAGGCCUUCGGGUUGUAAACCUCUGUCAGUAGGGAAGAAGAAUGACGGUACCUACUGAGGAAGCUUCGGCUAACUACGUGCCAGCAGCCGCGGUAAUACGUAGGAAGCAAGCGUUGCCCGGAAUUACUGGGCGUAAAGAGCUCGUAGGCGGGGGCGUGCGUCCGGGAAGAAAUCUCAAGGCUCAACCUUGGGGCUAUCUCGGAUACGGCGCUUCUUGAGGGUGAGAGAGGAAAGUAGAAUUCCCGGUGUAGCGGUGAAAUGCGUAGAUAUCGGGAGGAAUACCAGCGGCGAAGGCGACUUUCUGGCUCAUUCCUGACGCUGAGGAGCGAAAGCGUGGGUAGCGAACGGGAUUAGAUACCCCGGUAGUCCACGCCGUAAACGAUGGAUACUAUGUGUAGGAGGUAUCGACCCCUUCUGUGCCGGAGUUAACACAUUAAGUAUCCCGCCUGGGGAGUACGGUCGCAAGGCUGAACUCAAGGAAUUGACGGGGGCCCGCACAAGUGGUGGA